UGGCUGUUGUUGAGUUGAAAAACAGGUUGAUAAGGGUUUUUGACUCAUCAAUUAGCACAAGGAAACAAACAAUUCCUCAUGAGAUCAAGAUGUUGUCUAAAAUGCUUCCUUCAUACCUACUUGACAGUGGUUUUUUUGAAGAAAAUGAACGCACAAAUUUUGCUGAUUGUCAAGCAUAUAAAGACAACAAUAAUGGAUCACUUCUGGAGCCUCAAGUUCCUUUCAUGAUAGAAUUUGCACAAGACAUCCCUACACAGGAAAGCGAUAGCCUAGACUGUGGGUUAUAUGUUACUGCAUUUGCCGAGUAUAUCAGUGACCAAA